GGAAGAGAAACGCACCCCGGUGGGGCGCCCGGACUUCAAAUCCGGUGAGAGGCGUCAGACGUCUCUGGUGGGUUCGACUCCCACUCUUUUCCGCCA
rnacentral:tRNA from 1 species